rnacentral:rRNA from 1 species
CCUACGGGGGGCAGCAGUAAGGAAUAUUGGUCAAUGGACGAAAGUCUGAACCAGCCAUCCCGCGUGCAGGAUGAAAGCCCUAUGGGUUGUAAACUGCUUUUAGCAGAGAAGAAAAGCUUCCAUUUAUGGGGGUCUGACGGUAUCUGCAGAAUAAGCACCGGCUAACUCCGUGCCAGCAGCCGCGGUACUACGGAGGGUGCGGGAGUUAUCCGGAAUUACUGGGUCUUAGGGGGGGGUUGAAGUCGUUGGUGAAAUCUUGUCGCUUAACGAUAAAAUUGCCAAUGAUACUUGUACUCUUGAAUUGGGUUGAGGUUAGCGGAAUGUGACAUGUAGCGGUGAAAUGCAUAGAUAUGUCAUGGAACACCAAUUGCGAAGGCAGCUAACUGGGCCUUGAUUGACGCUGAGGCACGAAAGCGUGGGUAGCGAACAGGAUUAGAUACCCUAGUAGUC